GGGCGNNAUGCAGUCGAGCGGUAACAGAGAGUAGCUUGCUACUUUGCUGACGAGCGGCGGACGGGUGAGUAAUGCUUGGGAACAUGCCUUGAGGUGGGGGACAACAGUUGGAAACGACUGCUAAUACCGCAUAAUGUCUACGGACCAAAGGGGGCUUCGGCUCUCGCCUUUAGAUUGGCCCAAGUGGGAUUAGCUAGUUGGUGAGGUAAUGGCUCACCAAGGCGACGAUCCCUAGCUGGUUUGAGAGGAUGAUCAGCCACACUGGGACUGAGACACGGCCCAGACUCCUACGGGAGGCAGCAGUGGGGAAUAUUGCACAAUGGGCGCAAGCCUGAUGCAGCCAUGCCGCGUGUGUGAAGAAGGCCUUCGGGUUGUAAAGCACUUUCAGUCAGGAGGAAAGGUUAACGGUUAAUACCCGUUAGCUGUGACGUUACUGACAGAAGAAGCACCGGCUAACUCCGUGCCAGCAGCCGCGGUAAUACGGAGGGUGCGAGCGUUAAUCGGAAUUACUGGGCGUAAAGCGUACGCAGGCGGUUUGUUAAGCGAGAUGUGAAAGCCCCGGGCUCAACCUGGGAACUGCAUUUCGAACUGGCAAACUANAGUGUGAUAGAGGGUGGUAAAAUUUCANGUGUAGCGGUGAAAUGCGUA
rnacentral:rRNA from 1 species